AGAGUUUGAUCAUGGCUCAGGACGAACGCUGGCGGCGUGCCUAACACAUGCAAGUCGAACGGACCAAUGUUUGACACUGAGAGUUUUCCAACCUGCUCUUCAGUGAGGGACAGCGUGACGCGAACGAAGAGAGCGUCUACGCGUUAAAAAAAGUGCCAACACAACUAUUUGGAAAGAGAAUUUUCAGUGUCGGACAUUGGUUAGUGGCGGACGGGUGAGUAUCGCGUGGGUAACCUGCCCAUAAGUGGGGAAUAACAGUUGGAAACGACUGCUAAUACCGCAUAAGCUGAGCAAUCAGUAAAGGAGGCUAACGCUUCCGCUUAUGGAUGGGCCCGCGUCUGAUUAGCUAGUUGGUGGGGUAAUGGCCUACUAAGGCAACGAUCAGUAGCCGGCCUGAGAGGGUGGACGGCCACACUGGGACUGAGACACGGCCCAGACUCCUACGGGAGGCAGCAGUGGGGAAUAUUGCGCAAUGGGGGAAACCCUGACGCAGCGACGCCGCGUGAGCGAAGAAGGCCUUAGGGUCGUAAAGCUCUGUUUUAAGGGACGAAUAUCUUCUGUAGUAACUGACUGAGGAAUGACGGUACCUUAAGAGAAAGCCCCGGCUAACUACGUGCCAGCAGCCGCGGUAAGACGUAGGGGGCGAGCGUUGUCCGGAAUUACUGGGCGUAAAGAGCACGUAGCGGGAUUUUAAGUCAGGUGUGAAAGACCGUGGCUCAACCACGGGGUUGCACAUGAAACUGGAAUUCUUGAGGGCAGGAGAGGAAAGUGGAAUUCCUGGUGUAGUGGUGAAAUGCGU
rnacentral:rRNA from 1 species